rnacentral:tRNA from 1 species
CAAGAAAUAGUUUACUUAAAACACUAGCCUUGGACGCUAAAAACUGGAGAAAAUCCAUUUCUUGA